rnacentral:rRNA from 1 species
AAAUUGAAGAGUUUGAUCAUGGCUCAGAUUGAACGCUGGCGGCAGGCCUAACACAUGCAAGUCGAACGGUAACAGGAAGCAGCUUGCUGCUUUGCUGACGAGUGGCGGACGGGUGAGUAAUGUCUGGGAAACUGCCUGAUGGAGGGGGAUAACUACUGGAAACGGUGGCUAAUACCGCAUAACGUCGCAAGACCAAAGAGGGGGACCUUCGGGCCUCUUGCCAUCAGAUGUGCCCAGAUGGGAUUAGCUUGUUGGUGAGGUAACGGCUCACCAAGGCGACGAUCCCUAGCUGGUCUGAGAGGAUGACCAGCCACACUGGAACUGAGACACGGUCCAGACUCCUACGGGAGGCAGCAGUGGGGAAUAUUGCACAAUGGGCGCAAGCCUGAUGCAGCCAUGCCGCGUGUAUGAAGAAGGCCUUCGGGUUGUAAAGUACUUUCAGCGGGGAGGAAGGUGUUGUGGUUAAUAACCGCAGCAAUUGACGUUACCCGCAGAAGAAGCACCGGCUAACUCCGUGCCAGCAGCCGCGGUAAUACGGAGGGUGCAAGCGUUAAUCGGAAUUACUGGGCGUAAAGCGCACGCAGGCGGUCUGUCAAGUCGGAUGUGAAAUCCCCGGGCUCAACCUGGGAACUGCAUUCGAAACUGGCAGGCUUGAGUCUUGUAGAGGGGGGUAGAAUUCCAGGUGUAGCGGUGAAAUGCGUAGAGAUCUGGAGGAAUACCGGUGGCGAAGGCGGCCCCCUGGACAAAGACUGACGCUCAGGUGCGAAAGCGUGGGGAGCAAACAGGAUUAGAUACCCUGGUAGUCCACGCCGUAAACGAUGUCUACUUGGAGGUUGUGCCCUUGAGGCGUGGCUUCCGGAGCUAACGCGUUAAGUAGACCGCCUGGGGAGUACGGCCGCAAGGUUAAAACUCAAAUGAAUUGACGGGGGCCCGCACAAGCGGUGGAGCAUGUGGUUUAAUUCGAUGCAACGCGAAGAACCUUACCUGGUCUUGACAUCCACGGAAGUUUUCAGAGAUGAGAAUGUGCCUUCGGGAACCGUGAGACAGGUGCUGCAUGGCUGUCGUCAGCUCGUGUUGUGAAAUGUUGGGUUAAGUCCCGCAACGAGCGCAACCCUUAUCCUUUGUUGCCAGCGGUCCGGCCGGGAACUCAAAGGAGACUGCCAGUGAUAAACUGGAGGAAGGUGGGGA